rnacentral:rRNA from 1 species
GGGAGUCCACGCCGUAAACGAUGUCGACUUGGAGGUUGUGCCCUUGAGGCGUGGCUUCCGGAGCUAACGCGUUAAGUCGACCGCCUGGGGAGUACGGCCGCAAGGUUAAAACUCAAAUGAAUUGACGGGGGCCCGCACAAGCGGUGGAGCAUGUGGUUUAAUUCGAUGCAACGCGAAGAACCUUACCUACUCUUGACGUCCAGAGAACUUAGCAGAGAUGCUUUGGUGCCUUCGGGAACUCUGAGACAGGUGCUGCAUGGCUGUCGUCAGCUCGUGUUGUGAAAUGUUGGGUUAAGUCCCGCAACGAGCGCAACCCUUAUCCUUUGUUGCCAGCGGUUAGGCCGGGAACUCAAAGGAGACUGCCAGUGAUAAACUGGAGGAAGGUGGGGAUGACGUCAAGUCAUCAUGGCCCUUACGAGUAGGGCUACACACGUGCUACAAUGGCGCAUACAAAGAGAAGCGACCUCGCGAGAGCAAGCGGACCUCAUAAAGUGCGUCGUAGUCCGGAUUGGAGUCUGCAACUCGACUCCAUGAAGUCGGAAUCGCUAGUAAUCGUAGAUCAGAAUGCUACGGUGAAUACGUUCCCGGGCCUUGUACACACCGCCCGUCACACCAUGGGAGUGGGUUGCAAAAGAAGUAGGUAGCUUAACCUUCGGGAGGGCGCUUACCACUUUGUGAUUCAUGACUGGGGUGAAGUCGUAACAAGGUAACCGUAGGGGAACCUGC